UGGUGACAAUGGCAAGGAGGUCACACCUGUUGCCAUGCCGAACACAGAAGUUAAGCUCCUUAGCGCCGAUGGUAGUCGGACUAACGUUCCGCUAGAGUAGGACGUUGCCAGGCA
rnacentral:rRNA from 1 species